GAUGAACGCUGGCGGCGUGGAUAAGGCAUGCAAGUCGAGCGGACAUAUCUGCGAUUACAUCAAGGAUGUGUUAGCGGCGAACGAGUUAGUAACAUCUUGGUACGUACCCCCGAGUCGGGCAUAACUAGCCGAAAGGCUGGCUAAUUCCCGAUGGUCUUGUAAAAGUAAAGACGCAAGUCGCUUGGGGAGCGGCCUAGAUCCUAUCAGCUUGUUGGUGAGGUAACGGCUCACCAAGGCUAUGACGGGUAGGGGGUGUGAGAGCAUGACCCCCAACGAUGGAACUGAGACACGGUCCCUACAUCUACGGAUGGCUGCAGUCGAGAAUAUUCGACAAUGGGCGAAAGCCUGAUCGAGCGACACCGCGUGCAGGAAGAAGGUCUUCGGAUUGUAAACUGCUUUUGCGUGGGAAGAACUUUGACGGUACCACGCGAAUAAGGGGUUGCUAACUCUGUGCCAGCAGCAGCGGUAAUACAGAGACCCCAAGCGUUAUACC
rnacentral:rRNA from 1 species